rnacentral:rRNA from 1 species
GAUCCUGGCUCAGAAUCAACGCUGGCGGCGCGCCUAACACAUGCAAGUCGAACGAGAAAGUGGAGCAAUCCAUGAGUAAAGUGGCGUACGGGUGAGUAACACGUGGAUCAUCUACCUCUUAGUGGGGAAUAACCCUGGGAAACCGGGGAUAAUACCGCAUAAGUCCUUUGGGAGAAAGCAGCAAUGCGCUGAGAGAGGAGUCCGCGGCCGAUUAGCUAGUUGGCAGGGUAAAAGCCUACCAAGGCAUCGAUCGGUAGCCGGCCUGAGAGGGCACACGGCCACACUGGCACUGAAACACGGGCCAGACUCCUACGGGAGGCAGCAGUGGGGAAUCUUGCACAAUGGGGGCAACCCUGAUGCAGCGACGCCGCGUGAGCGAUGAAGCCCUUCGGGGUGUAAAGCUCUUUCGGCAGGGAAGAUUAUGACGGUACCUGCAGAAGCAGCUGCGGCUAACUACGUGCCAGCAGCCGCGGUAAUACGUAGGCAGCAAGCGUUGUUCGGAGUUACUGGGCGUAAAGGGUGUGUAGGCGGUUGUUUAAGUUUGGUGUGAAAUCUCCCGGCUCAACUGGGAGGGUGCGCCGAAUACUGAAUGACUUCGAGUACGGGAGAGGAAAGUGGAAUUCCUGGUGUAGCGGUGAAAUGCGUAGAUAUCAGGAGGAACACCGGUGGUGUAGACGGCUUUCUGGACCGUAACUGACGCUGAGACACGAAAGCGUGGGUAGCAAACAGGAUUAGAUACCCUGGUAGUCCACGCCCUAAACGAUGCAUAUUUGGUGUGGGCAGUUCAUUCUGUCCGUGCCGGAGCUAACGCGUUAAAUAUGCCGCCUGGGGAGUACAGUCGCAAGGCUGAAACUCAAAGGAAUUGACGGGGGCCCGCACAAGCGGUGGAGCAUGUGGUUCAAUUCGACGCAACGCGAAGAACCUUACCUGGGCUCGAACGGCUGGUCAACGGCGUUGGAAACAGCGCUACCCCGCAAGGGGGUCCAGUCGAGGUGCUGCAUGGCUGUCGUCGGCUCGUGUCGUGAGAUGUUGGGUUAAGUCCCGCAACGAGCGCAACCCUUGUUUCCUGUUGCCAUCGGGUAAUGCCGGGCACUCUGGAGAGACUGCCGGUGACAAACCGGAGGAAGGUGGGGAUGACGUCAAGUCAGCAUGGCCUUUAUGUCCAGGGCUACACACGUGCUACAAUGGCCGAUACAAACCGUCGCGAGCCCGCGAGGGGGAGCUAAUCGGAAAAAGUCGGUCUCAGUUCGGAUUGUAGGCUGCAACUCGCCUGCAUGAAGUCGGAAUCGCUAGUAAUCGCGGAUCAGCAUGCCGCGGUGAAUACGUUCCCGGGCCUUGUACACACCGCCCGUCACAUCACGAAAGCUGGCUGUACUAGAAAUCGCUGCGUUAACCCGCAAGGGGAACAGGCGCUUAAGGUAUGGUCAGUGAUUGGGGUGAAGUCGUAACAAGCUAACC